rnacentral:lncRNA from 1 species
GAGACCGACAGUGGGAUUGUUAAUGGUGCGCUCGGGGUUUAAGAUGCUGGCACGUGGGGUUAUCGAUGGGAGUGAGUGACAGACAAUUUUGAGACAACUGUAAUUAAGAGUAAUUAAUUUUGAUGGGAAUUAGAAUGAAAUUAUAAUUGAUUGUGGAUUAAGAGUAGUUAAUUGAGGGCAAAUGAGAUGAUCAAUUCGUAA